rnacentral:rRNA from 1 species
UGUCCUACGGGGCGCAGCAGUGAGGAAUAUUGGUCAAUGGCCGAGAGGCUGAACCAGCCAAGUCGCGUGAGGGAAGACGGCCCUACGGGUUGUAAACCUCUUUUGUCGGGGAGCAAAGAGAGUCACGUGUGACUCAUUGAGAGUACCCGAAGAAAAAGCAUCGGCUAACUCCGUGCCAGCAGCCGCGGUAAUACGGAAGAUGCGAGCGUUAUCCAGAUUUAUUGGGUUUAAAGGGUGCGUAGGCGGGCAUUUAAGCCGGCGGUCAAAUGUCGGGGCUCAACCCCGGCCUGCCG